CAGCAGUACCUGGCAAACAGCUAACAACAGUGGAUUUUUCAUCAGUUCUGAGCUGGUGAUAUUGGGACAAGCAAGACACUUACUGUUCCUGGUUUUGAGUCCUCUCUGUGACCCAGGUUAUGUUCAAUGGCUUGCAUUUAUAAAGCGUCUUUGAUGCAAUCCAACAUCCCAAGGACUUUCAGGAAGUUAGCAAACAUCAAGCUAGACAGGUAGUUGUCAAGACCUUGGCACACAGCAUAUUUACCAGAAUGCUUCCAGGUAGAUGUAAAAGAUGACACGCAUGGGAUUUCCCAGAGGCCUGGUACUCAACCCGGAACUCCAUCAACAAACGUGGAAAUAGACCCCAUCUACCAACCGCUACAAAGCAGAACCAGAAAUGAGGCUAACCAUCAGAUCAGACUGGACCCACAUAAAUAACAAGUGGGACAAACCAACAGCGCAUCAUCGGAGGCACACUGAUGAUAUUACCUAAUAUGAU